UACUAAUAAUUGCCUAAUAUUUGAGUAUUUCUCAUGCGAGUGCAGGGGUAGCAGUUGGAGCUGGAUGGCAAUAUUCAGUCGCGAUUAUAAACCUCGUUUGCUACUAUAUAGUUGGCCUUCCAUUGGGUGCCUGCCUUGGUUAUAUUGCUAAUCUAGGUGUUAAUGGAAUUUGGACCGGGAUGCUCGUUGGUACCCUGCUUCAAACUAUAGUUUUGGCGUUCAAAAUGUGGAAAGCUAAUUGGAGAACAGAGGCAAUUCACGCUGAAGAGCGCAUCAGAACAUAUGGCGACCAGCCUACUCAAGAUGGGAUUGAGCAAAUUGAUUCGCAUAGUACCUCGCCUAUGCCAGUAGUAACAUGACAGUAAGAGCAAAUGGGAAUAAACACAGGCCCUUAAAGUAGAGCAUACAAGAAAUGGAUAGGUAUAAUGUAGUAAAAACCGUUCCUAGUGGAAAAUUUUGUAUUAGAUUUGUUCAGGACUGCAAUAAUAAUUCGGUCACAAAUUGACCUGAUUGCAAGUCUUAUAUUUUCUUUCUUACUUUAUACCUGGUGUUUAACCAACGUGAUAAGUGCUGCAAUGGCUCGAGACUCUAACCAUGAAGAUGCAAAGGAUUGUUU